rnacentral:snoRNA from 1 species
AAAACUGUGCUCAAGGAUCAUUUGUAUAGAUCAUUACUAGAGAACUAUCUGUCCAUGUAAAACACCAAAACUCCAAGGAGUAGCCGGAGCCUCCUCUCCUGAGCAUGGAGCCGGUUCCAGGGGUUGCUUUUGCAAUUGCCUUUUCCCAUUGAUAAUGGUUCUUCUUUUCCCUUGGGAGAGGGAGAGGGAGAGGAUGCAGUCUGAAUGG